CAGUCGCCGCGGUAAAACGGAGGGGGCUAGCGUUGUUCGGAAUUACUGGGCGUAAAGCGCACGUAGGCGGCUUUGUAAGUCAGAGGUGAAAGCCCGGGGCUCAACCCCGGAAUUGCCUUUGAGACUGCAUCGCUUGAAUCCAGGAGAGGUGAGUGGAAUUCCGAGUGUAGAGGUGAAAUUCGUAGAUAUUCGGAAGAACACCAGUGGCGAAGGCGGCUUACUGGACUGGUAUUGACGCUGAGGUGCGAAAGCGUGGGGAGCAAACAGGAUUAGAUACCCCUGUAGUCCCUGUCUCUUAUAC
rnacentral:rRNA from 1 species